rnacentral:rRNA from 1 species
AGCUCCAAUAGCGUAUAUUAAAGUUGCUGCAGUUAAAAAGCUCGUAGUUGGAUUUUGGGCAUGUGCUUGGCGUCGCGCCGGAUUGGCGCUGGCGCAAGGCCGUACCUUUCUUUCGCAUGGCAGCCCGGUGCACUUAAAUGGGCGCCGGUGUCUGUAUGCGAUCGUUUACUGUGAGAAAAUUAGAGUGUUCAAAGCAGCCACAUUUUCAGGCGUUGAAUAGUACAGCAUGGGAUAAUAAAACAAGACUGGUUUCUUAUUUUGUUGGUUUUCAAGAAACAGGUAAUGAUUAAAAGGGAUAGUUGGGGAUAUUAGUAUUUAAUUGUCAGAGGUGAAAUUCUUGGAUUUAUGAAAGACUAACUUCUGCGAAAGCAUUUAUCAAGGAUGUUUUCA